UACGUAGGGCGCAAGCGUUGUCCGGAAUUAUUGGGCAUAAAGAGCUCGUAGGCGGCUUGUCACGUCGGGUGUGAAAGCCCGGGGCUUAACCCCGGGUCUGCAUUCGAUACGGGCAGGCUAGAGUGUGGUAGGGGAGAUCGGAAUUCCUGGUGUAGCGGUGAAAUGCGCAGAUAUCAGGAGGAACACCGGUGGCGAAGGCGGAUCUCUGGGCCAUUACUGACGCUGAGGAGCGAAAGCGUGGGGAGCGAACAGG
rnacentral:rRNA from 1 species